GAACCUCCCUGGACAACUGGGCCGGCAUGGUUGGGGAGGAAGCUGGAGGAGAGGGCUUGUCCAGAGCCUUGAGGUCCCAGGCGGGCAUCCUGAAAUCCCUUGCUGAGGCCCUGACUGCGCCACCUGCCUGCCAAACUGCUCCAAUGCAUAAAAGCCUCCGAUUUCCAAAAGGUGACAGGACUCGGCUGCGUGGAAGCCGCCCCCGCUGCCACCUCCCCACUCCGGGUGGAGGCUCCCCCGCUUUCCUGCGGUCCCACCCAGCGUCGCGGGGGGCCUGCGCCUGCAAGUCCCGGCUCUCGCCCGUCUGCGCGAGCCCUCUGGACCUCGGGCUGUUUGGAAACGCCUCUUCAGCCCGAGUUAAGGGACGGAGCUCCUGGUCUGGGGCUGGACACAGGCCCCCGAAGAGAGAGACACCCUCCCUGCCCACCCCCGCCAGCGUCUACAGCAGAGGCCAGGGGCAUGCGGCUGGGCUGUGAAGGAACACCUGUGUGUGGACAGCAGUGCCUCGGGGGGUGUCCUCUCUGGGAGACCCAUCAGCUGCUCCCCAGCAGGCGGAUGCAUCCAAAAUGGUCGGUGAGGAGACUCACGUGUGAUUGGGUCAAGCUGACCGGCUGCAGGGGCCCAGAUCAAGCACUGCUUCUGGCCGUGUGUGAGGGUGUUUCUGGGGGAGCCCAGCACCUGAAUGGGUGACUCAGUGAGGCAGGUGCCCCCCGCCCCAGGCAGGUGGGCCUCGCCCAUCGCUGAGGGUCUGACUAGUACAGAGGCGAGGAACGAGAGACCUUCCCGCCGUCCCACCUUCAGACUUUGGAUGAAUCACACCCACGGGAGCCUCCGCCUCCGGGAGGAUAAGAGCCGACUCCUCCCAAUAAACCCCCUUUCUGUGCACGUCCCACUUGCGCUGUGUCUCUGGAACGCCGACCAGCGCAAGGAGCUUGAACACCUGAUGCUGAAGUUAGGCUGGCAGACGACACCAGCUGUCACAGCAGAGAAACCCUUUCUCGUCUCCUCACUCGUGACACGGGAUGGCUACGGUGCCACCCUGUCGUGGGGUUGGUCAUUGGGUUGCCCAUGGCCCUGGAGGCAAACGGGCAGAGCUGCUGCCCAGAAGGGCCCCGGGAGAAGUGGGCAGCGUUCUUAUGGUCAUUACCAGACCAGGCCUUGGAAGAAGGGAAGUCUUCGUAACCAGCAUUUGAGGUCUCAAGAGAUGGCAGUGACAGUUGUCUCUGCAGGAGCUCAAGAGGGGUCGGAAACGCAGAGCAGGCGUGGGAGCUGCUCCAAGAAAACCAGGGGGAGCCGCCCUCGCAAGAGACACCAACCCCAGCCCCAGGUGGACGACACCGUCACGAUACAGCAUCCAACAGGCAAAGCCACCCUGCACUUUCUGAGCAGAGAGACACCAGAGGGGGUCGCUGGCGGACGGCCCUGCGGAGUUCGUGUGCCCGGAGAUGGCUGCUGUCUCCAAAACCAACACCGACGCCAUCGGCGAAGUCCAGGCAAACGGGAGAAGAACGUCUGUGAUAUUUCCAGCAUCCAGCACCGGGAUGCCUGCGUUGGUGCUGGUGGGAAGUGCGUGCCCGAGACUGGAGGGGCUGCUGCAGACCCUCUCUGGAGAUGCACGGCACUGCGCAGCAGCGACACUUUACAGGAGGCUUCCGAGGUCACCGAGGACCCCGGGGAGUAGGUCUGCCUGGCGCCAGCCAGCCGGGCCCCUGAGAGGGAAGCCUGGCCCCGCCUCCAGGGUCAGAGAGCCAGGUGAGGUCUGGCCGGCCACCUCACAGCCACCCCCGGAGCAGACAGCUGUGACAGAUGUUGUGCAAGGAGAAGAAAGGACAGUGACAGCAGCAGCUUCUGUGGUCCAAGGGCCGGCAAAGUGGACGGCUGUGCAGCUCUCAGGACCUGGGGCAGGUGCCCAGAGCAGACGGCGCGAGAUCCCUGUGCCGCUGAGCCCAGCCCGCCCGGGGUCCAGGUGACGCACAGAUGCCCUCCUGUCUCGUACCUGGUUGGUCUGGGCCCUGAGACGAAGGGCCCCUUUGGAGGUACAUUUUAAUACUUUCCUGUGCUUCCCAUGGUGGGAAUUGUGUCCCAACAACCUGGUACAAGAGUUAAAUGCUGGAAAAGAAAGGAAAACAGCAAGGCCCUGCUGCAGAGGUCAGCAGAGAACAUUCAGAGAACUUCUACGGACGCACAGGUGGCACCGGCACCUUCGAAUCUAUGUUCCCCUCAGGGCCGUUCAGAUGACUUUCUUUCUUUCUUUCUUUGCAUUUUUAGGGCUGCACCUGCGCCAU